rnacentral:rRNA from 1 species
AUACGGAGGGUGCAAGCGUUAAUCGGAAUCACUGGGCGUAAAGCGCACGUAGGCGGUCUGGUGUGUCAGGCGUGAAAUCCCCCCGGCUUAACCGUGGAAUUGCACUUGAAACUACCAGACUUGAGUAUCGGAGAGGGUGGCGGAAUUCCAGGUGUAGGAGUGAAAUCCGUAGAUAUCUGGAGGAACACCAGUGGCGAAGGCGGCCACCUGGACGACUACUGACGCUGAGGUGCGAAAGCGUGGGGAGC